UCAAAGAGAAAAGAAAAAUAAAAAUAAUAAUCCUCUUUGAAAUUCAAACUUAGAGAGAGAGAAAAAAAAAAAAAGAAACUUCUCUGUGGAAAAAACAUUUGUGUUCGUUCUCUUCAGCACUUCCACGUUGACGCUUUUCUGAAGAAUCACAAAGGCUCGAGAAAAGAAAUAACUUUGUUACACAAAGCAUUUUUCUCUAUCUUUCUUUGAAGUUCAGAGAGACUUGGCGAUCACUCUGAUUUGGCUCCUCCGAGGUGAUCCUCUUCGCGGAGGCAGGGGUUUGGAUUCAAGCUUCGCGUUGAUUCCUCGUGGUUAGAUCUGAACUGUGCUCGCUGCUCUUGCUCGAUUGAGAAGCUUGAGUUUUGAGGAUUUUGAAUUCUUUCGGAGUUUGGAAGCAUGAUUUGUUGUAGAAGAUAGAUAGAGAGAGUGUUUGUUUCUGUGCUUUUGUGGUUUGAGAUGAAGAGGUCCAGAGAUGAAGUUCUCACGAGUUGUUCUCAAUUGAAACGGCCUGUGUUGUCUUCACGAGGAGAAGCGUCUGGGCAACCGCAGAUGAUGAAUGGAGGUGCUCAGAAACUGACAACUAAUGAUGCCCUUGCAUAUCUCAAGGCAGUGAAGGAUAUAUUUCAAGAUAAGAGGGACAAGUAUGAUGACUUUUUGGAGGUUAUGAAAGAUUUCAAGGCUCAAAGAAUUGAUACUGUGGGUGUCAUUGCAAGAGUGAAGGAACUGUUUAAAGGCCACAGAGAUCUUAUAUUGGGAUUUAACACCUUCUUGCCUAAGGGUUACGAAAUCACACUUCCAUCAGAGGAUGAUCAACCUGCCCCAAAGAAACCCGUUGAAUUUGAAGAGGCUAUAAAUUUUGUGAACAAGAUAAAGACUCGUUUUCAAGGUGAUGAUCAUGUGUAUAAAUCAUUUCUUGACAUAUUGAAUAUGUACAGAAAGGAAGACAAAUCUAUUACUGAGGUCUACCAGGAGGUUGCUGCUAUUUUUCAGGACCACCCUGAUCUUCUUGAUGAGUUUACUCAUUUUCUUCCAGACGCUUCUGCAGCUGCCUCUACUCAUUAUGCUUCUGCUCGGAAUUCUAUGCUUCGCGAUAGGAGCUCUGCAAUGCCAACAAUACGACAAUUGCACGUUGAAAAGCGAGAACGGACCAUUGUUUCACAUGGUGAUCAUGACCCCAGUGUUGAUCGUCCUGACCCAGAUCAUGACAGGGGUUUGUUAAGGAUAGAAAAGGAGAGGAGACGUGUGGAGAAGGAAAAGGAACGUAGAGAAGAUAGAGACAAGAGAGAACGUGAAAGGGAUGAUAGAGAUUAUGAGCAUGAUGGGGCUCGAGAUAGGGAGCGAUUCUCUCACAAACGGAAUCGUAAGGCUGAAGACUCUGGAGCUGAACCAUUGCUUGAUGCAGAUGAAAAUUUUGGUGUGCGUCCUAUGUCAUCCACUUGUGAUGAUAAAAAUUCUCUGAAAAGUAUGUACAGUCAAGAGUUUGCUUUCUGUGAAAAGGUCAAAGAAAAAUUACGAAAUCCUGAUGACUACCAGGAAUUUUUGAAGUGCUUGCAUAUCUACAGCAGGGAAAUAAUUACCCGACAUGAGUUGCAGUCAUUGGUGGGUGAUUUACUGGGAAAAUAUCCAGAUCUUAUGGAGGGGUUUAAUGAAUUUUUGCUUCAAUCUGAAAAGAAUGAUGGUGGAUUCCUUGCUGGUGUUAUGAAUAAAAAGUCCUUAUGGAAUGAUGGACAUGGACUGAAACAAAUAAAGGUUGAAGACAAGGAUAGAGAUCAGGAUAGAGAUAGAGACCGUUAUAGGGAUGAUGGGAUGAAAGAAAGGGACCGUGAAUUCCGAGAAAGGGACAAAUCUACUGCGAUUGCCAACAAGGAUGUUUUAGGUUCUAAGAUGUCUCUAUAUCCCAGCAAGGAGAAGUAUUUAUCCAAACCUAUAAAUGAGCUGGACCUUUCUAACUGCGACCAGUGCACUCCUAGUUACCGUCUCUUACCGAAAAAUUACCCAAUACCUGUAGCUAGCCAGAAAACAGAACUUGGUGCUGAGGUGUUGAAUGAUUACUGGGUGUCUGUCACUUCAGGAAGUGAGGAUUAUUCCUUCAAACAUAUGCGCAAAAAUCAGUAUGAAGAGAGUUUGUUUAGAUGUGAAGAUGACAGGUUUGAACUUGACAUGUUGUUAGAGUCUGUAAAUGUGACAACCAAACGAGUAGAAGAGCUGUUAGACAAGAUCAAUAGUAAUAUAAUUAAAGGAGACAGCCCAAUUCGUAUUGAGGAGCACUUAACAGCUAUAAACCUGAGGUGUAUUGAGCGAUUAUAUGGUGACCAUGGGCUUGAUGUGAUGGAAGUGUUAAGGAAGAAUGCACCUCUAGCUUUGCCAGUGAUAUUAACACGCUUGAAGCAGAAACAGGAAGAGUGGGCAAGGUGCCGUGCUGAUUUUAGUAAAGUUUGGGGUGAAAUAUAUGCUAAGAACUAUCACAAAUCUCUUGAUCAUCGUAGCUUCUACUUUAAGCAACAGGAUACUAAAAGCUUGAGCACCAAAGCCUUGCUGGCAGAAAUCAAAGAAAUCAGUGAAAAGAAACGCAAAGAUGAUGUUCUUCUUGCUAUUGCUGCUGGAAAUAGGCGGCCAAUUCUUCCAAACUUGGAGUUUAAGUAUUCUGAUCCAGAUAUUCAUGAAGAUUUAUAUCAGCUCAUAAAAUAUUCCUGUGGAGAAAUUUGCACAACUGAACACGUGGAUAAAGUUAUGAAGGUUUGGACAACAUUUUUAGAACCCAUGCUUUGUAUUCCUUCUCGGCCCCAGUGUGCAGAGGAUACAGAAGAUGUUGUCAAGGUUAAGAAUAAUUGUGUCCUAAAUGACACAGCAACUGUUGCUGAGAGUGACUGUAGCCCUGUUGUGGGUGCUACCAUAAUGAAUCCAAAGCAUAUAAAUGUUUCCAGAAAUGGGGAUGAGUGUAUGCCAUUAGAUCAAUCAACUUCUAGUAAAGCAUGGCAGUCAAAUGGUGAUAGUGGGGUUGAGGAUAGGUAUCUUGAUGACCAUGCAUUGCGUAAAACUGAAACUUUGGGCAGCAAUACACAGCAUGGUAAAAUGAAUAGUAUUGCAUUCACACCUGAUGAACCAUCAGGAUUUAACAAUAAGCAAGACCAGUCCAGCGAACGGUUAGUGAAUGCAAAUGUCUCACCAGCAUCUGGAAUGGAGCAAAGCAAUGGAAGGACAAACAUAGAUAAUUUGUCGGGACUCACUGCCACUCCAACAAGACCUGGUAAUGCUUCUGUUGAGGGAGGACUUGAUAUACCGUCAUCAGAGGGUGGUGAUUCUACAAGACUGGGUACAUCAACAAAUGGGGCCAUCACUGGAGGCACCAAAGUUCACCGAUACCAAGAGGAAUCAGUUCGACCCUUCAAAAAUGAAAGAGAAGAGGGUGAGUUAUCUCCUAAUGGAGACUUUGAAGAAGAUAACUUUGCAUUUUAUGGAGGUAAUGGUUUGGAUGCAGUGCAUAAAGGAAAAGAUGGUGGUGUGAGUCGGCAAUACCAAAAUAGGCACGGGGAAGAAGUUUGUGGUGAAACUAGAGGAGAAAACGAUGCUGAUGCUGAUGAUGAAGGUGAAGAAAGCCAUCACAGGUCAUCAGAGGACAGUGAAAAUGCAUCUGAAAAUGUUGAUGUUUCUGGAAGCGAGUCUGCUGAUGGUGAGGAGUGUUCUCGAGAAGAGCACGAGGAUGGGGAACAUGAUAACAAGGCUGAGAGUGAAGGUGAAGCUGAAGGAAUAGCUGAUGCCCAUGAUGUUGAAGGAGAUGGAAUGUCAUUGCCAUAUUCUGAACGCUUUCUACUAACUGUGAAGCCUCUAGCAAAGCAUGUUCCUCCAAUGUUACAUGAGAAGGACAGGAAUUCACGAGUUUUCUAUGGAAAUGAUUCCUUUUAUGUGUUGCUUAGACUUCAUCAGACAUUGUAUGAGAGGAUACAAUCAGCAAAGAUAAACUCAUCAUCUGCUGAUAGGAAAUGGAAGGCUUCAAGUGAUACAAGCUCCACUGAUCAAUAUGACAGGUUCAUGAAUGCCCUUUACAGUUUGCUGGAUGGUUCUUCUGAUAAUACAAAAUUUGAGGAUGAUUGUCGAGCUAUAAUUGGAAUUCAAUCAUAUGUCUUAUUCACAUUAGACAAGCUGAUAUAUAAACUUGUUAAACAGCUUCAAGCUGUUGCCGCUGAUGAGAUGGAUAAUAAGCUUUUACAACUAUAUGCAUAUGAGAAAUCGAGAAAACCCGGAAAAUUUGUUGACAUCGUUUAUCACGAAAAUGCCCGUGUUCUUCUCCAUGACGAGAACAUAUAUCGUAUUGAAUAUUCACCUGGACCAAUGAAACUGUCUAUUCAACUGAUGGACUCUGGACAUGAUAAACCUGAGGUGACUGCUGUGUCAAUGGACCCUAAUUUUUCAACCUAUCUACACUAUGACUUCCUGUCUGUCGUCUCUGACAAAAAACAGAAGUCAGGAAUUUUCUUGAAGAGGAAUAAACGUAGAUAUGCCAGUAAUGAUGAAUUUUCAAGCCAGGCUAUGGAAGGACUACAAAUUAUUAAUGGUCUGGAGUGUAAGAUAGCUUGCAGUUCAUCUAAGGUCUCAUAUGUUUUAGAUACCGAAGACUUUUUGUUUCGGAUAAGAAGGAAAAGAAGAGCCUUGCGUCUGAAGAGUUCAGGUGCUCACGAACAGGCACAGUCUUCAAACAUUUGUUCAAGCAGAGUACAACGAUUCCGCAAUUUGUUUUCCAUUACAUGAAAGUGUCCAUUUUGAGCUGGGCAUGGUAUGCAAAAUUCUUUAUAUUGAUAAAUAUGUUAUUUGGGCUUGACGUCAUACAGAUGCACAGAACACAUACUCCCAUCGGAGUAACAUUUGUCAAAUGUAAACAUUGGCAGAGGCGCCUGACGAAAACGCCAUCCUAUCCAAGAAGUUGUUGAUCAAGGGAUGUUUUUCUGAAAUUAUUUUUGCACAUUUUCUUUGAGCAACCUAAUAAAUCUUACAGAAUGGGUAGCUGGUGCGGCAUGGAGAGGAGGAGAUUGUUGUAUACUGUAAUUUGAUGGCUAACGAUGGCUCACAAUAAUGUAAAUAAAUAGAGGUAAUUUGUGAUUUAACUAGAGGACUCUUUAUUUCAUUCAUCCAUAUUUUUGUUAUUUAGUUUUUCUUUUCCUCUUUUAACUUUAGCUGCUACAAAUAUUGAGGUUUAUUGAUCAUGGGACAUUCGGUGGCUGCAAUUGGCCCUGCCGUUUCAAAUACAAAGUGUGUAGACUGAGAGUCUGCCCACAUCCUUCGUUCUUCU